GGCGAUAGCUCAGUGGUAGACUAUCAGCCUUGCAUGCAGAAGGUCCCAAGUUCAAUUCCCCAGCAUCUCCA